CUCCCGGCUCCCUCGCGGUCACUGGCUCCCCUGCAGUCGUCGCUGGUUUCCUCUCGGUCGUCUCUCGCUCCCUUGCGGUCGUCGUUGGCUCUCUCACGGUGGUCGCAGGCUGGUUGUCUCCAGGCUUCCUCACGGUCGCUGGGUUCCCUGCAGUCGUCGCUGGCUUCCUCGCGGUCAUCACUGGCUCCCUCACGGUCGGUCGUCGCUGGCUGCCUCGCGGUCGGUCGGUCUUGAAAAAGUUAUUGUCCGGGUCCAAGUUGUUCUCAGGGUCAAACGUCUUGUGGUCAGUAGGGUUGGAGGUCAUCAAAGGGUUGGAAGGGUCAUCAAAGGAUUCGAAGUCCAUGUUUUUUGGUAUGUGAAUUUCCUGCUUCAGUAGGGUCAGAGUUUUUAUUGUCAGUAGGGUUGGAGGUCAUCAAAGGGUUGGAAGGGUCAUCAAAGGAUUCGAAGUCCAUGUUUUUUGGUAUGUGAAUUUCCUGCUUCAGUAGGGUCAGAGUUUUUAUUGUCAGUAGGGUUGGAGGUCAUCAAAGGGUUGGAAGGGUCAUCAAAGGAUUCGAAGUCCAUGUUUUUUGGUAUGUGAAUUUCCUGCUUCAGUAGGGUCAGAGUUUUUAUUGUCAGGUGGUGAAAAAUUCUUAGUAUGCUGCUUGAUGGUGUUGAACUCGAGCAUGUUGUGUUGGAGUACUGGUGCGGGGGUGGACAAUAAGUUUGUUAUGUCUUAAGUAGGCAGUUUCCCCUCUGUCACGUGCAGCUUUUAAUUUUGGGAGGAGCUCUUUUCUUUUUUGUCGUACGGCAUCUGUAAAGUCUUCGUUAAUGUAGAUGUUGGAGCCUUUUAAAUAUUUUGCAUUUUGUAGGAUCCUUGAUCUGUCCUUGUAUCUUAGAAAUUUCACCACAACUGGCCUUGGUCGAGGUCUUCCAGGGUCUUGUCUUCCUGUGCGGUGAGCUCUCUCCACCUCAAUUUGCCCCUGUAUCAGCAGUUUCUCCUUAAGGAUUUUUUGAACUUUUUCCUCUGUUUCAGUCCACGUUUCUCCCGGUUUUUCCUCAAUUCCAUCAAUUACUAAGUUGUUUCUUCUUGACUGUCCUUCCAAGUAGUCCACCUUGUCCGUUAAUACAAGCAUGCCGUCACAUACUUUGUAGAAUUCCGUUUGCAUGUCUUUGGAAUGGCCAGUUUGACAGAUUAGAUUUUUUUUAAUGUCGUCUACCUCUUUUUGGGUAAAGUUGAUGCUGGUUUUUAUUUCUUGGACUUCCCUGGUAAAAG